GAGUGGCGAACGGGUGAGUAACACGUGGGAAACCUGCCCAUAAGAGGGGGAUAACAGUCGGAAACGACUGCUAAUACCGCAUAGGUCAAGAAACCGCCUGGUUUCUGGAUGAAAGGAGGCUUCGGCUUCCACUUAUGGAUGGUCCCGCGGCGUAUUAGCUAGUUGGUAAGGUAGAGGCUUACCAAGGCGAUGAUACGUAGCCGACCUGAGAGGGUGAUCGGCCACACUGGGACUGAGACACGGCCCAGACUCCUACGGGAGGCAGCAGUAGGGAAUCUUCCACAAUGGGUGCAAACCUGAUGGAGCAAUGCCGCGUGAGUGAAGAAGGUCUUCGGAUCGUAAAGCUCUGUUGUGAGAGAAGAACAGAUAGGGUAGUAACUGGCCUUAUAUUGACGGUAUCUCACCAGAAAGUCACGGCUAACUACGUGCCAGCAGCCGCGGUAAUACGUAGGUGACAAGCGUUGUCCGGAUUUAUUGGGCGUAAAGCGAGCGCAGGCGGUCUGUUCAGUCUGAUGUGAAAGCCCACGGCUUAACC
rnacentral:rRNA from 1 species